GAUGAACGCUAGCGGCAGGCUUAAUACAUGCAAGUCGAGGGGCAGCGGGAGUAGCAAUACUUGCCGGCGACCGGCGCACGGGUGCGUAACACGUAUGUAAUCUGCCCAUCACAGGAGGAUAGCCCGGAGAAAUUCAGAUUAAUACUCCAUAAUAAAUUGAGUGGCAUCACUUGAUUUUGAAAGUUCCGACGGUGAUGGAUGAACAUGCGACUGAUUAGUUAGUUGGUGAGGUAACGGCUCACCAAGACCACGAUCAGUAGGGGUACUGAGAGGUUAAACCCCCACACUGGUACUGAGACACGGACCAGACUCCUACGGGAGGCAGCAGUAAGGAAUAUUGGACAAUGGCCGCAAGGCUGAUCCAGCCAUGCCGCGUGCAGGAAGACGGACCUAUGGUUUGUAAACUGCUUUUGAACUAGAGAAAACCCCUUUACGUGUAAAGGGCUGAUAGUAUAGUUAGAAUAAGCAUCGGCUAACUUCGUGCCAGCCGCCGCAGUAAUAC
rnacentral:rRNA from 1 species